rnacentral:rRNA from 1 species
CAGUAGCCGCGGUAAUGCGGAGGGAGCUAGCGUUGUUCGGAAUUACUGGGCGUAAAGCGCACGUAGGCGGUUAUUCAAGUCAGAGGUGAAAGCCCGGGGCUCAACCCCGGAACUGCCUUUGAAACUAGAUGACUGGAAUCUUGGAGAGGUCAGUGGAAUUCCGAGUGUAGAGGUGAAAUUCGUAGAUAUUCGGAAGAACACCAGUGGCGAAGGCGACUGACUGGACAAGUAUUGACGCUGAGGUGCGAAAGCGUGGGGAGCAAACAGGAUUAGAUACCCCAGUAGUCCCUGUCUCUUAUAU